AAAAGUCGUUACAAGGUUUCCGUAGGUGAACCUGCGGAAGGAUCAUUG
rnacentral:rRNA from 1 species